ACAUACAGGAAAUGGUGAAAUGGUCAGCUCGGACUCACAUAUACCUACUAGGAAGGACACAAAGAUUAAAUACUCCUCACUAAGGUAUUGAAGAUUUCUCUGCGCACCCCUCC